rnacentral:rRNA from 1 species
CCUACGGGAGGCAGCAGUGGGGAAUCUUGGACAAUGGGCGCAAGCCUGAUCCAGCCAUGCCGCGUGAGUGAUGAAGGCCUUAGGGUCGUAAAGCUCUUUCGCCAGAGAUGAUAAUGACAGUAUCUGGUAAAGAAACCCCGGCUAACUCCGUGCCAGCAGCCGCGGUAAUACGGAGGGGGUUAGCGUUGUUCGGAAUUACUGGGCGUAAAGCGCGCGUAGGCGGAUUGGAAAGUUAGGGGUGAAAUCCCGGGGCUCAACCCCGGAACUGCCUCUAAAACUCCUGAUCUAGAGUUCGAGAGAGGUGAGUGGAAUUCCGAGUGUAGAGGUGAAAUUCGUAGAUAUUCGGAGGAACACCAGUGGCGAAGGCGGCUCACUGGCUCGAUACUGACGCUGAGGUGCGAAAGUGUGGGGAGCAAACAGGAUUAGAUACCCUGGUAGUCCACACCGUAAACGAUGAAUGCCAGUCGUCGGGUAGCAUGCUAUUCGGUGACACACCUAACGGAUUAAGCAUUCCGCCUGGGGAGUACGGUCGCAAGAUUAAAACUCAAAGGAAUUGACGGGG